AGAGCGAACGCUGGCGGCAGGCUUAACACAUGCAAGUCGAGCGCCCCGCAAGGGGAGCGGCAGACGGGUGAGUAACGCGUGGGAACGUACCUUUUGGUUCGGAACAACACAGGGAAACUUGUGCUAAUACCGGAUAAGCCCUUACGGGGAAAGAUUUAUCGCCGAAAGAUCGGCCCGCGUCUGAUUAGCUAGUUGGUGAGGUAACGGCUCACCAAGGCGACGAUCAGUAGCUGGUCUGAGAGGAUGAUCAGCCACAUUGGGACUGAGACACGGCCCAAACUCCUACGGGAGGCAGCAGUGGGGAAUAUUGGACAAUGGGCGCAAGCCUGAUCCAGCCAUGCCGCGUGAGUGAUGAAGGCCCUAGGGUUGUAAAGCUCUUUUAACGGGGAAGAUAAUGACGGUACCGUAGAAUAAGCCCGGCUAACUUCGUGCCAGCAGCCGC
rnacentral:rRNA from 1 species